GGUGGUUCUCGGGUGACGCAUCCCAGAAUCUGGCUCCCCUCCUCUCUGGUUCUGGGUGUGUCACCCAAGAACCAAA
rfam:Myotis brandtii contig269009, whole genome shotgun sequence.